UGUCGCAACCAUACAUUUGCCUGUUUCUUGUGAAAGAAAAACUCAUUUGGUACUAAUUCUAUCGUUAUAUUUGAAAUUUCUUCAAAUGCAAUAAGGACCAAAACUAUAUCAAUAUACGCCGCUUUUUGAAGCAAAAUUAUAAAGAAGAACGGCGGCGAAAUUGUAAUUUAAAAUUUAUAAAGCAAGCAAUGAGCUGCUUGAGUUUCUACCUUAACAUCUUAGUUCGAUAAAAAAAUGAAAUAUCACUAAACUCAAAUGUGUUUUAUUUAAAUUUAUUUGCUUCAACGAGAAAGUAAAGGUGAAGAUAUUUGGAAAGCCUUUUCGUUUCGACAUCAGAAACAGGCUGUAAAUGAUUUAUAAUUCAUACGCUGUAUGCUGACGGAUGUCUAUUAAUGAGGCAAGUUCCCCCAAUCACAAAAAAGUCGUCGUUGGUGUCGACUUACAACACUAGCCGCAUUUGACAGUUCUUUGUUUUGAGUUUUCAUAAUAAAAAAAUUGAUCAAUGCAUAAAGGUAAACAUUUAUGUACAGCAAAAUUAAAUUUGCUAAGGUGGUGAAAAUAAAUGUAAAUAAAAUGUAACAGGCAGCUGUGUAGCACAAAAGAGUUGGGACUCUGUUUUGUGGAAUGCCAUUUUCUUCAGGUAUGAAGCAUGGUAGAAUGAUAGAGGUAGCCAAUGUCAAAAUAAUGUCAAACGAGUUGUUGUAAUUAUAAUUCGCCGCACAUGCGCAUAACGCAUCAUCAAUUUCAAAGUGCAAUCGUUAACGAGAAAAAGGAAAGGUUUUUUGUGGAAAAAAAAAAAUGAGAGUUUGCUUUAUUUGCAAAACAAAAUA